ACUCGAUGAACCGCUAGCAUGAAAACUAGGCGAAAGGUCGUAGCCCUGAACGAGGAUAAUAGUGAAUAACGUCGAAGUGUGUCUGGCCAACUUCAACAGGAAAGAGCUGCCCACAUACGGUCUUAAGAACAUCACUGCUUUUGUCAGACAAAGCAGCUUUCCACAAUAAAAACAUGGUGAUUUGGAUUCUUUAGUAGCCUAGGCCUACUAUCAAUAAUGGGCAACAUGAGCGAGGCCAGGAAAGAGGAGACAUGCUGGUGGUAUCAGUGGGACAGACCGUGGACAGGCAAAGGAACUAGAGGAAAGGUUAUGUUGUUCACUUCCUCCUCUUCAAUCCCCCCUCUUUGGCACAGACAGCUCCUCUUGUCAGGAACUCCAGGAAGGGUCAGGGAAUUUGGGCAUUCAGCAGAGCAACUGGAGGCAGGAUACUCACAAAGAAGAGAAAGGGAAACUAGGAAGUGUGCUCAUGCAAAGUGAAUGCUGCUGAUUGAUGGCACACAUUAAUCCUACAUCGGUUAAAUGGCAUUUAAUUCUCCUCGGUAAAACAGCAUUUAACCUUGUACUUAACCACAUUUCUCCACAUUUGGAGAGUAACUUUAUAUAGCAAUUAUAAAUAAUGUGGGUAUGCAGGAUAAAGACUCUUAGAGUCUCAUACUUGAAGCUUGAAGCCAACUAAAGAUACUUUGAGGCCAUGUCAUUAGGUCGUACUGUAAUGUACUUCUGAAGUAAAUAAAAUUCUCAAUCUGGCAAAGAGCACAUAGACCAUAGGCUGUCUAAGGGGAAUCAGAAUAAUGUCUUAUUUUACACAGUCUAGACAAUAGACAAAAUGGGAACUGAUGUUUACCAUGCAAAUUACUGUCAUGUUCCAAUAAACUGUAGGACUGGAUGUGUCACUACAGCUGAUAAAAAUGUUUGAUGGCCCAAGGAUAUAGAGAGACAGACAUUCAUAAUAGAUUGCAGUGUGUAACUGAACUUACUGCUUCCUGGGGAAGUUUAAGCUGUUAUUUUGGAAAGAGACUAAAGCUACCAACAAAGAAAAUAAUCUCAAUUGAAAGUGUAUUA